GUAGGUGAACCUGCGGAAGGAUCAUUAACACGUGUCCCACGUACCAAACCAAAACCGUGAACAUUGAACGUAUGUCCGGGAUGGACUAGAAUGGCGUCGGUAGUAAAGGCCAAGGCAUUUCGGUGCUUUGGGUUCCGCACAUUCCAGCCCAGACCGUUUAACCAAACCAUUAUUUAUUAUUAUUAUCGUCUUAAGUCUAUCGUGUUGACUGAGAGUCUAGGGCAACCUUUACUCAAAAGUUGAUAAUGAU
rnacentral:misc_RNA from 1 species